AUGAAAAUCAAAAUACUGUAACUGACCUGACAUUCCAUGUGCACAUUGAUUUAAACCCAGACUCUUGAAUGUAAAUGCACAAUUAGAUGUCACAUAUGGCUUCUUUCCAUUGUAAUUCAAGUGGGACAUGCCUAGUUUAAAAUUCACCAUUGCCACUGCUUGCUCUAGAUGACUCUUCCUAUCAGAAUCACCGUGUUUGCAGUCCAUCCGGAGGACAGUUCCUGAGCUCCUAACGAGGCACCCUCGGUGAAGCGACUCCGAGUCCUGACACUGUUCUUUUCCUUUAGACAGUGAUAUACUGAGGCCAAAUCUCUGUACUUCAUAUCCAUCGAAGGGUACAGGGAAAUGUCAAAGUUUACUGACACCUUCUUGACUAAUAUCAGGAUCACCUACAUCCAAAACCAGAACAUCACUUUGUAAAGAAAAAGAUUUUUUAAAAAAUGAUCCUCUUAAAAAACAGGUGUAAAAAAUGAUUUAAAUAUUCAGUAACUAAGUGUACAGGAUGUGCAAAAUAAAG
rnacentral:lncRNA from 1 species